rnacentral:rRNA from 1 species
AUACGGAUGGUGCAAGCGUUACUCGGAAUCACUGGGCGUAAAGCGCGCGCAGGCGGGCUGAUAAGUUGGAUGUGAAAGCCUACGGCUCAACCGUAGAACUGCAUCCAAAACUGUCAGCCUAGAGUCUGGGAGGGGAAGAUGGAAUUAGUUGUGUAGGGGUAAAAUCCGUAGAGAUAACUAGGAAUACCAAAAGCGAAGGCGAUCUUCUGGAACAGUACUGACGCUGAGGCGCGAAAGCGUGGGGAGCAAACAGGAUUAGAAACCCCAGUAGUCC